AGGGUUGGGAAGCCCCCAUCUAUAGAAAACGUGCCGUGUACAACGUGAAAUCAAUUCCCAUGCACAACAAUGAAGAUCCCAAUUACAAUGAACAAACACGUUCUUCUGAACAGCACUUCCUCCCUGACAUCAUGUCCAUGACCCUGCACCCUGCGGGGGGCUCGGAUAUGUUACGUCUGAUUCAAAGACAACCAAAAAGAAGGAAAUAAUGAUUUCACCAAGAAAGGACACAUACCAAGGCAGGAAUAGACAUUAAGUUUUGCAAAAUUAAAUGACUACAUUUACAGUCAUGGAGGAGAGACACUGCCUCAACUCAGUUUCUUCUGAUAUAUCUUUGAAACAGAGCCCUGCAAAGCUAAUCUGCUCAACCUUCACCUACUGGGUUCAAUGAAUAUGAAAAGCUGCCUUCCUGAAACUCUUCCUUCAAAGAGGAAAUGAUCUCCUGGAAUUCAAGCUUCUACAAGGUGGCUACCUGGUGUUUUCCACUUUUGCCUUCUCCUAAAAAGCAUCAAUCAAGCCUUGCCCUUUCAACCCACUGAACACAUAAACAUGCUUUCUCCUUAACUGAACUUAUGGUCAUGAUGAACUUGAACUCUGAGAUGCACAGAGGAGAGUUUGUUUUAACAGCUGCUUUUACAAUGAAGCCCUGGAGUUACUACUCUCAAGACCCCUGGUUCUGAUAGGCCGUCUUUUCACUGUCCUCUGCAUUUUCUAAUGCCCAGCUGUCAAGGAACAC
rnacentral:antisense_RNA from 1 species